ACAAUUGAUCUCGCGUCGCGGGUUCUAAUACGUUUAUUGUUUAUUAAAAGUGUUAUUAAAAGGUGAAUGAAAUAAUAGUGAUCAAAAACAAAGAAAACAUAAAUAUUUUAUAUGUAAAUAUGUAUGCAAAAAAAUGGAUUGCCCUGCACAAUGGAAAGAGAUCAACACCAAAUUUUAAUGGAACUCCUAGAAAUGUGGCUUGGGGAUAUAAGUGCAGUGAUAAAUACGUCGCUUUUGAAUCCAGCCGAAGUGCACAAAAAUUUUGACUGAUAUUAACCGACUCUGUGGUUCAGAUGGUAAAUAUAAUUGUAAACAAAGGAAUUUUAAAUAAAAAUUAAUAUUGUUAAUUAUAUUAUAUUUAAAUAAAA